rnacentral:lncRNA from 1 species
GUAGCUGUGGUGGCCAUUUGGCUGAUAUUGUUUUCCAUUAUUAAAGGCAUAUCUUUUUCUUUACGUUGAAAUAAACAUUCGAUCAUUUAUCUCAAAUCGCAAUUUUUCCUUGAAUAUCACAAUAAUACCUCUUAUUGGAAAAACCUACACUUAUAGAACUAUGUUUAUAAUUAUUUUUAUUGUCAUUUUACUUCCGGUUUUAAAUCAGAGGUUAUGGUUGGAGCAUCAUCAAGUUUUAUAUACUUUUUUGCCUUUGGUGAUUUUCUUGGAAAAAAAAUUCUUACUACAAAGUUGUUUAAAAUUUGAUAUCAAUUUUCUUCUUCUUGUGGCUUCUUUUAGUUUAAAGGUGAUUCUGAAAAUAUAAACUUUUCCUUGAAUUUUUUGAAAUAUUGACUCAGUUCUUAUCUUGCAUCGUCGUACGGAACAAUAACUCAUUUUUUUGAAGAUUAGUUUGAUUUGCUUUAAUAUAAAUUGACAAUUGAAUUAUAAUCUAGCAGAUAUCUCGGUUUAUAGAUUAUGAAUAAUUAAAUGUGCACAAAAUUCAGUUAUUUUAAAUCAAAGAUCUGAAAGAUAACUUUGACAGAAUAAUAGCUACAAGAAUUGAAUCUUCCACGAUUCCAAAAUAACUUUUUUAACUCUUAUCUACUCAGUGGCAAGGUUAAUAGAAAUACAAUGUAGACCAUCAUGUAAUCGGGCUAGUUAGAAUUUUCAAUUUGAUGCAUCGUACCGACCACUGGGCAAGAAAGACUGAUUUGGACAAAACAUACAACUUCUCAUGUACCAUGACGUCAAUAUUAAAUAGCGUUGUGGAAGUCAAACAUCAUUCCUACAUCACCUAUAUUUUAAUACCAUCAGUUCAUCAAAUAUAUUACGCAGAAGAAAACUAUAAUUUAGCAGUUGAUACAGUUAUUAAAAAAACUUCCUUCACAUAAGUGCUGCCACUCAAACGGAAUUUAAUCUGUCUUAGGGAUGAAUUACAUUAUUAAAGGAAAUAAAUUCCCCAGACUUAUCCAUGCGUAGGGGCUUUUCUACAUUACUUAUUCUAAAAGGAAUAUUCUUUUGACCAUUUAUAUCAUACCAAUUAUGAAUGUGAAUCCCCACAAAACCUUGUUGUUUAAAAAUAUAUUAUGACUAUGAUAGGGAAGAGUGGCGCUGUAGUUCGGGUUUAUAUGUGAUAUUGAUUGAUAUUUUCGACUGUGCAUUCGUAUAUUGAAUCUGUAUCCCACAUUACUCCUUUAAAAUCCUAUCUUUUCUGUUGAAUAUCCUAUUAGCAUGCUUCUUACUUUAUACUUGAUAUUCAGGGAUCUUGUCCCUAUGGAGGAAGUUUUUUGUAUCUCCCCUUGCUUCUUAUCUCCUUUAAUGGGAGUAUAAUUCACUAUGGAGAGAAAAUUUAAUGUAAAUGCUUGCUAUAGUGACUUCUAAUCUCAUUUUAUAAUUAAUCAGUCACUCCAAAUCUUUUAUGGAAUUGUUGUUUACUCCUAUGAUAACUGAGGAGUGAUGAAUUUGAUAUUGAGGCCGAAUAAUCCAAAAAAGGACCCAGAAUAGAGGGUUUCUCAUUUUACUACUUUAAUCUUUAUGCUUAGGGAUCGUGCCCCUUAUGACAAGGUUAGCAUGUCUUACUCACUGGAAAUCCUCCCUUAAUGGAGGGAUAGUUCAUUUUACUAUUGCCUCUUAACAUCAAUAUCUGUUGCGACAAAUAUUUGUCCAUUGGGUCAAAAAUGCAUCAGUUGCCUCUGAUCUUGUCUGGAAUCAUCUUCUACUCCGAAUACCAAUGUAAGAAGUAAUAUCUGAGAAGUGCCAUCAAGAGACAGAGUAUUCGAUUUAAAGAGACCGUGAGGAAUAGUGAGAGAGUUAUCUUCUUCCGUCCACUGCUACCCAUUAAAAGUCAUGAAUACAUUCCUCCUAAAUUCAACUUUAAUCGUAAUACCUUAAUAAAAUACUUGAUUUAAUAAUAUUUCAGUGUCCAUAAUAUAUAUAACAAACAACUUACCUAUCCAACACCUUGGUAAGUGGUUUUAAUUCAAUGUAUCAAGCAGAUUUCGUACUAUACAUUACCUACGGACAAUUACACAUCAAGUUCACUUUAAUUCUCUCAUUCCAAUUCCUGUAUAGUAUACUUUAUUUAUAGUGAUUACUUCGAUUUGUUAGUCUCUUUUUUCAUUGGAAAAAAGGCACUCUUAUAAGCCAUUCUUAAACAAAUGGAUGGUAAGUGAUGUGAUAUCAAGUAUUAAUAUCAACAUGUAAAUAAGAAUUAUACAAUAUAUAAAUGUUUAUUAAUGUUUUGAAUGAAAGGAUUAGUUUGCUCUAAGGGCUUGAGGUAGGAUAUUGAAUAUCGAUUUAGCCAAAAGAUUAAAACAUGUCAACGAAUUGUGAUGUGGGAGAAGAAAAUCGACUGGUCUUGAUGGUAGAGGAAAAACGAGUUCAAGAAGAAUCCAUCAAAAGAAGAGAACAACGCUGUGAAAUGAGAUGAAAAUACUUAUAAAAUCUCCACCUCAGUUAGUGGAACACAUAGAUUAUGAAUUUUGAAUUGGAUGGCUUUAAGGGUUUAUUAUGUGUUGGAGCAUUCUUAUUUGGUAAUCAGAAUGAAAAAAAGAAGAAAAUAGUUAAUAAGUCAUUGUGCUAUCUUAAAAUGUUGGAUAAGAUGGAGCAUGGCAUGUCAAUGGAAGUGCAUCAAGGAAAUUCUAGUGGGAAAGAAGCAGAGUGAAAAGGAUAAUUUUGAUUCAUUUUACACGGUUCUAUGUUGCUAACCUCAACAUUCUGCAGUAAGGAAGAUGUUAUUUGAACACUGCAUAUCAGUACUAAUUAUAAAGGGGCAUAUAGUCUCAAGAUUAGGAUAUUUUGACUAUAAUUCAAAUUGACUAGAGGAAAAACGAGGAUUACGUGAUGUUUGUGUUUUUAUUAGUAUAUAUCAAAACAUGGGGCGAUGCCUCUCAGGCCUCCAAUAACCCUUUAAACGACCUCAGUCGAACGAAGUUGUUGAUCGAAUAUUAUUCAAAUAAUAGACAUAUAUGUAAAUCUGCCUUAUGCAAAUUUACCAAACAUUUAUGGUAUUUGUCAAAGGAACUCGUUGGACUUGCUUUCUUCAAUGAUAGAGUUUAGCUACAAAAAUAAAAAAAUUCUUAGCUCUCUCAAAGUUAAGCAAAGAAGGCUAAAAACUUAACUAAUGUUUUUAUACAUAAAAA